rnacentral:rRNA from 1 species
UACGUAGGGUGCGAGCGUUGUCCGGAAUUACUGGGCGUAAAGAGCUCGUAGGUGGUUUGUCGCGUUGUCCGUGAAAACUCACAGCUUAACUGUGGGCGUGCGGGCGAUACGGGCAGACUGGAGUACUGCAGGGGAGACUGGAACUCCUGGUGUAGCGGUGGAAUGCGCAGAUAUCAGGAGGAACACCGGUGGCGAAGGCGGGUCUCUGGGCAUUACCUGACGCUGAGGAGCGAAAGUGUGGGGAGCGAACAGG